CCUUCGGGGGACAGCAGUGAGGAAUAUUGGUCAAUGGGCGCGAGCCUGAACCAGCGAAGUCGCGUGAGGGAUGAAGGUUCUAUGGAUCGUAAACCUCUUUUAUAAGGGAAUAAAGUGUGGGACGUGUCCUAUUUUGUAUGUACCUUAUGAAUAAGGAUCGGCUAAAUCCGUGCCAGCAGCCGCGGUAAUACGGAGGAUCCGAGCGUUAUCCGGAUUUAUUGGGUUGAAAGGGUGCGUAGGCGGCCUUGUAAGUCAGCGGUGAAAGUCUGUGGCUCAACCAUAGAAUUGCCGUUGAAACUGGGGGGCUUGAGUAUGUUUGAGGCAGGCGGAAUGCGUGGUGUAGCGGUGAAAUGCUUAGAUAUCUCGAAGAACCCCGAUUGCGAAGGCAGCCUGCCAAGCCAUGACUGACGCUGAUGCACGAAAGCGUGGGGAUCAAACAGGAUUAGAUACCCGAGUAGUC
rnacentral:rRNA from 1 species